AGUAACCUGGACCAGAGAAAAAACAAGACUACCAUGUCCAGCCAGCAGAAUGCUAUAAUAUGCUAUGAUGACUGGAAUCCUUGUUAACCAAUUCCAGCAACCUCCUAUCGCCUCCCCGUUGAGACCAGCAUGAAGGUCGAAGCUCACACCACCUCUGCAGACUCAUUUCACCCCUCACCUGCCUACGGUCACCUGUGUGGUUGCCCGGGCCAGAAACAAAUACCCAAACGCAGCAUUUGAGGGAUUUCUACUUGUCUGUUGCCUCCUCGAGAACAGCACGUAACUGCAAUGCAGCCUGUACAGGAGGACGGAGGGAAGGAAAAGCCAGAGCCAGGUCUUGAGCUGAGGAGGGCAGAGUCUUGCGGAGGGCCCUCAGGACUGGGUGAUGCUGUGAGGGAGCAUGAACCCCGUGUCCCUGAGGGUCCUGAGCGCCACUCGGCCAUUGGGUCGGAUCACCAGGUGGGUGAUGCUGCCAUUGUUGAGGGAGCAAUGGAGCCAGCCUUCGGGAGGAAACUGCA
rnacentral:lncRNA from 1 species